UGCCCAGCAACUCCUAUCCCUACCUCCUCGCGGUACUGGUCGGGGAAGAUCGGGUAACCAACUCCGGUGGGAACUUUGGUCGUAUGCUAACAGGGAAGG
rnacentral:ribozyme from 1 species